UGAUCCUCCCCACUCAUAUCCUUCAGGACACAGUGGAAGACUAGUCUCUGGACAGGCUGACUAGACCCACAGUAGGCCUUGUCUGAGGAAGCCGUCCAAGAGAAUGUGAGGCUACUAGGUGACGGGUGCUGGCGCAGGGGGCUCUAGUGCAGAGUAGGGGUGCUUGGUGUCUAGGCAGGGAUGGUGGUGGCCAGUGGGGCAGUUUAAUUUUCAAUCUCUCACUGACCCUGGAUCUCCAUUUGGCCAAGGCAUCCCAGCCAUUCUCCUGUCUCUGCCCGUCCCAUGCUGGCAGGAUUGUUGGCACAUUCCCAGCCACGUGAUGUCUAAAUGACUGUUCCCAUGAGCUGCUUUGGAACAUGACACGUAGAGAGGAAGAAGAACAUGCCAGGACCCACACAGUGAGUAAGUGGAGACCCUGGAUCCCAGGUCCAGCUAUUCUAGAAAGUUCUGCUCAAUUCCAGAACUUUCUCUGUGGCACUGUGUAACCUUGCACCAUUUAUUCCUGGCAUUUAGGGGUAGGGAGCACACACCAGUGACCACACAUGGUUGCUGGGAGUAGUAGAAAGAAGGUUCUAGAAACAAGAGUGCUAAGUGCUACCCUGUCCUGUCAUAGCUUGCACCUGGGCACUCUGUCCUGCCCUUAACUUUUAGUUUGUUUACUCACGGGGAUGAGGCAGUGAAGGGCCUAGCAUGGAAGGCAGUCCACCAGGCACGGCCUGGUACUGGCUUACAUCUAACCGUAGAAUCUGCCCACUCCACUUGAGUUUUUGGAGUUAAGUGAACUGUAAUUAAUGAGGCAAAUAUUUGCCCUCACUAUGCCAUCAGAGAAAACAGGAUGCCUUUGCACAGAGCAAAUACCACUGACAGAAGGCUAAGCACAGCAACACAGGUGAAUCUCCAGUGGCAAAGUGGAGGUGUGGACAGGGAGCCCCCAAAGACCACGAGGCUAUGCCAUGGCCCAAGGGAUCUCAGGCUCCAUGCCUCUGGGGGAGAGAGUUAGUUUUGAAUGUUUAAAAUAAGACAGUGGAGAAGCUGCAAUCUGUAUAUCUACUGUUCCCAACGGGGCCUUGGGAUGGACUUGGCCAUUGGAAACAGUCCCGUGGUCAUCUGAUCCAAGGAGUGGCCUUGGGAAGACAGCCCCUGGGGUGGCCUGAGAUACCCCUUCCAAGAACAGAAGGCAAAGCUCAAAGUCACUGAGUUCUUGGUAGAAGGGAGCGGUCUGUUCCAAGUGUGUCCCACGUGCCACCUCUCCCUCCUUUAAUGUGGGUUUGGAUUUGUAACGAUUCCUGGGGUCAGGCUGCCUUCAGGGACACAAAGGCCCUGUGGCUCAACCUCCUCUCCCAAAGGCUGCUCUCAGUCUCCUCCUUGUAUGUCCCUUUGGAACAUCUUCCCAGACCCUUUCAGCCACCACUUGCAAAUGACAGGGCUCUGGGGGCCACGUUCACAAAAGCCCUACUUUCCAGGGCUAGGUCAGCUUCCCAGAGGAGAAGGGAAUUUGAGAGUGGGCUGGAACUGCUCCUCAGGUAUCUACAAAGGGAUCUUAGUGGACACACUGCCCACGAGGCCUCCGGAGACAGCCCUGCGGGGGAGGAGGUCCCUUUGUCCUUAAGAAGCAGAGAGUGAAGCAUGUCCCCAGGCCACCCUGGAGGGCUGAGAGAGGUUAGGACUUCAGAUCUCACCUGGAGAUAGGGCUAAGCUUUGGCCCAUACUCAAACCUCAAUGCCACCCACGCAAGGGUGGGAGCCCACUGACUUUGGUUGCCCUGGCUCAGUUAUAUGUCUAUUUCUACCUUAAAGGAUCCACUUGUGCCCCCAAGUUCUUGUAUGGGUAUUUUGACUUACAGCCAUCUCUUACCAGGGUAGCAGAAAACUGGGUACUCAGGCCCAUGGCUGGGCACACCUGGCUGAGGUCAGCUGUGGGAGGCCCAAUGUGCUGCCACCAUAAACUGUGGUCUAGAGGGGUAGCCGGCAGAUGGAGCAAGUGGUUUGCUGGUUCUGGGGUCUUUGCUGACAGAGGUUGGAAUGGCUGCAGGAUUGACAAACAGAAGUUCUGUCAGCUACUCCUGGGCUCUCAGAACUCCACUUAAAUGGUUGUCAUGCUAGGCACUUUGACCUGUCAGGUGACAUACUGGACUCCAUCCACAUCGUAUUCUGGCCUUAAUUUUGACAGCUAUGAUAACAGUCUUGGCCAGCUGAGUGCAGCCUACCUGUUCCAACAAAUGCAUUCCCUGUGUUUAGGGAAACAAGUGAUUGGGGACCACUGAGGACCACUGGAGGUCACUAGGGACUACGGGGGACCACUGGGGACCACUAGAGACCAUUGGAGACUGUUGGAGACUACUGGGGGCCACUGGGGACCACUGGAGACCAGCAGGGAUCCCUGGGGACCAGGGGAACAUCUGGGGACCACUAAAUAUUGUCUAGAAAUUGUCACUCCCUAGCAUGAGUGACAUUUGCAGGAUUCUCAGCCUGAGCCCAUCUCCUGGAAACUCCUAGUAUAACAGCUUGCUGGCCAGGCCCAGGUGACCCAGUGGUACAACAGCUGCCUUCUUAUCACCCAGAGAUCAGAGUCAGCUGCAGCCACCCUGACCAGUGUCACAGAUGGGGUCUUCAAUAGCAAUCACCCACACCAUCUGCUGUCCUGAAUGUUAGGAGUCAGAUGGGGGGAUGUGAGGGUGGCCUUCUCACAAGCCCUCUCUCCUUGUGUCAUAGAUGAUGUUCCCUUACUGCCUCUUCUGUGUCUGUGUCCUGAUCCCUGUUCAUGUAAGGACCCAUUGUGUGGCUUGGGGACAACCAGGGGAAGAGGACGAAUAAACACACGACAAGAAGAGUCUAAAGAAAAAUGAAGAAACAAAAGGUCAGAAGACAGCACCCUGGGCAAGGGUGGCAGAUGUGACUGUCAUAGAUGGGUCCUGAAGGGCACAGGGUGGAGAUCAGGCCCACAGAAAUGAGAGGUAGACAAAGGCCCUGAGGGCUGCUCUUCUGAAAUCCACUCCUGUUCUCUGGAAUGCCAUCCUGGGGAGGACUCUGCUCCACCCUGUGACUCAGGCCUCAGGCACUGCCCCUGAGUAAGAUGUAUUUACCCAGAAAGUUCUUAUCAAGACGUACACAGCUCAGCAGCUGAGCAUCCAUCUAGUUGAUGGCAAAUCAAACAAGUUCAGAGCUUCAGAAAGGCCACCCACUGCACUCACAGGGCCUCCUAGAUUCUGACUGGAAUGCAGGUGUGAGCUCACAGAACUGGGGAAGGAGAGAGACAAGUGGACAGGGCAGGUGCUGGCCACUCGAGGGGAACCCCUGCAUAAAAGACCAUGUGUCCUGGAGUAGCCCAGACACCCGAGGUGACAGUGACUUUUCCAGAUGCACCCACAGGUCACACAUUCCACAGGGGCACAGUCUCACUCAGUAGCCCAGGCUGCCCUAGGUCUCACCAUCUAACUACAGCUGAUGAACUUGUAGCCACCCUCCUGCCUAAGGAGGGGCUCAGAGUUUCCAUAGCCAAGGACUCCAAGUCAGCCACAGCCUGCCAGGCCGGCCUGAGGGUCAUCAUAAGGCCCAGGACGCUCACAUGCCACCACUCCUAUAACCCACAUCUGGGAUUUGGGACACAGGUCAUCUAGGAAUCUUAAAUGAAAAAAGGAGAGGUGAAGGAUGAGGGGAAAUAAAAAUGGCAGAAGAAAAAUAUUUUUUUCUACAGAGUCAAGUAGUCCCCUCUCAUUCUGCUUGAGCAGCUGUCAGUCACUCAACAAACACACAGGCCAUGUGACAGAAUUCCCAGCCACUAGGAUACACAGUUUACAUGGCAUUUGACCUUCCCUCCUCUAGAAGAUUCCACGAGGAAGGCUUCUUGGGACAGUCACAAGCUAAACAGAAUGAUCUCAGCCAUGGUUUUCAGCCAACCCAUCUCAUAGGUUGGGAAACUAAGGCUUGAGAGAAGAAUAUAGAGCCCUGACCUCUAUUCUGAUACAAACCUACAGCUUGCAGAUAGUAAUAAGAAGAAGAACCCCCAGCUCUCAGUUAGCAGGCAACUAUCCAGAUCUCAGACAACCUAUACUGGCCUCCCUUGCAGCUGCAUGUGGCCUGACUUGUUCUUGGUCCUUGAGAAUGAGUGACAUCAUAUGAGGUGGGGUAUAGUCAGCAGAGAGUACCUGUCUAGUGUGUAUGAGACAGCAUAACACACAACACCCCAAAACCAAACCAGACCAAACUGAAUGUGGACAGCCCCCGGAUGGGAAGGAAAUCCUUAUUUGCCCUUUAACCUCCUAUUGUAUGGGAUACAGAUUCAAUGGCUUGCUCUCAGGCAGCCAUCUUGGGCUACAAGAUGGAUGCCUGUGCUGGUUGCCGAAGACUCCUGGUCUCUAUGACUUCUCAGAGCUGACCUCUGAAAGACUUGCUGCUGGGUCAGCAAGGCCUUCCCUGGGUCCCUGAGAAAUGAGAAGGGUGUGGCCUUUCCUAGCUUCCUAGAACUGCAGAUACCUGCAACACCAAGCUGGAUGCCCUAGGGUCAUUGGGCCUUCCCAACAGCUCACGAAAGACAGGACCAUGAGGCACACACCCUAAAGCUUCACCAUGGAAGCUGGCAGCCAGCAUGGUGCUUGAGCACACACAGCCAUGGGUGCUGGACAUCUCCUUCAGGGUCCCCUUCCUCCUCCCCUGUCAUCUGCACUGCCAGUGUAUGGUCUAAACCUGGAGAUCCUGAUGCUGUCCUUAUCUCUAACCCAUACUGAAUUCACCAUAGACCCCACACACGCAGGGCAGUGACACAGCUCACCCAUGUCCCACACUGCCCUUGUCCUUCUCAAGAGCCUUGCCUGGCAUUUUACAGCUUGGUUCUUGUCUCCCUUCCCUUCUUGGUGUCACGCAGUUGGCGUCAUCAGAGGACCUUGUCAUGGCAGAGUGUGGUGUCCACUCUGCCAAAGAGGAGACAAGACCUGCGCACUCCCAGCAUCUGUAGAUGCCCUGCCUCAGAUCAGAUCCUUCCCAGGCUGGAGUUCACUCCCUCUGCCUUGAAAGAGAAUCGUGGACCCUUCAUGUGUCCCCUACACCCCUCACUGUUGCUUGGUAACCUCGAAUCCUGAAGAGGAGACUGUUUCCAUUCAACCCACACUCACCAGGGAAAGAGGAUAACCUUAUUUGUUCGAGAAUGUGACUGACAGGUGUCUGACUCUAGAGUACCAGGGCAAUCGCUUCUUGGCCUUUUGGCUAAGAUCAAGUGUAGAGUACCAGGGAAAUGGGAAGAAGACUAAAGGAUGUGACUUCCCACCACAUGGCUAGUGAUCUACUCACUGUGUGGCCAGAGAUCUUACAAGAGAGGAUCCUAAGUCACAGGCCUGUGUUGCCAACAGGUGUCUGAGGCAGGAGUAAGCAUGGGCUUUGCAGUCAGCAUAGGAAUAUCACCCAUUCCCUGGGCAGCUCUGGGCAAAAACGUCUGCCUUAGAUUUGAAACUCCAUCACCCUGAAGGUUCUGGAUGCCACCUCUAGGGUCUAAAUGGCUGAGACACAAAUUCUAUUCUGCCAUAGAGAGCCCCAGAGAGCCCUGUCCUGACCCACUCAGCUCAAAAGCUAUAGGUGGGAACUCCCAUUUUUCAGAAUUCUCCAAAGGAAGCCAGGCAGCAUCCCAGAACCACCUGGGAGACUCCUAGCAAACAACAGACCCCUACUGCUAUUUCCCAACACCCAGUGUGGCUACUGUGUCCAACACCCAGUGUGGCUGGUUGAGGGCAACAGGGAGGAAGGGGCCUUCAGAUAGCCGAAGACCUCAAGACAGGAUACCCCUGAGGUUACUCCAGAUUGUAGAUUAAAGAUGUCCUUGCCCAGUGUGAGUGGCCCCUCCCCAAGUCUGGACUUGUGGACACUUGCAGACCAGCACUUACUUCACUUCUCUGGGCACCAGCUUUACUUUAGGACUGACAGCUCCAGGCUCUCCCAUCUGCCCUUGGAAGUGGGGGCUUGGUUUCAGGGGUAUGCCAGCCUUGGCCCAGAGAGUCUGUGGGAAACAGUAACCUCCCAGCACAGGCCUCACUUAGAGAAGUCUUCCCUCUGCCCUGUGGGAGGAGACGGCUCAGCCAGAGUACCAGAUGUUGGUCUGUUGCUUAUCUGGCCACCACUCACGUCCUCAUAAGUGGAGGAGUGAAGACCUUCAUUUAUACAUCAAUCAUUGGUCCAGGGUGGGCCUGAGAGCCAUGCAGCAGCCAGGAAUUAGGUGGGCACUAGUGGGUCACUAUCAGGGCACCAGCACAACACCAGUCAAGUGUGGCAGCUGGCUUCCCAGGAGACAGAGGUAGGGAGCUUGGCUCUGAGGUCCCAUCCCACCCCAUGGAAGGACCCUAGAGUCCAAAAAUCAGAAGGGUACCAAUCUCAAGAAGCCAAGCAGCAGACAGGGCAGUGAUCUACCCACAGCUAAAGGGAGGGACAGGUCCCCACCUCUGAGUUCUGUUCUCCAUUAUCACAUCUCCUGACAGGAGUCUCAAGAUAGAGACACAAAUGCCAUGCAAGCCAGUCUACCUACUGUGUGUCCUCAGACCAGUAACUUAACUUCUCUGGGCCUUGUCUUUACUACUAAUAAAGCCAUAUCACCAGUUUUAGGAGCUAGUGAGCCCUGUUCCAGUA